rnacentral:rRNA from 1 species
UACGUAGGUGGCGAGCGUUGUCCGGAUUUACUGGGCGUAAAGGGAGCGUAGGCGGACUUUUAAGUGAGAUGUGAAAUACUCGGGCUCAACUUGAGUGCUGCAUUUCAAACUGGAAGUCUAGAGUGCAGGAGAGGAGAGUGGAAUUCCAUGUGUAGCGGUAAAAUGCGUAGAUAUAUGGAGGAACACCGGUGGCGAAAGCGGCUCUCUGGCCUGUAACUGACACUGAGGCUCGAAAGCGUGGGGAGCAAACAGG